rnacentral:rRNA from 1 species
UAGCAUAUCAAUAAGCGGAGGAAAAGAAACCAACCGGGAUUGCCUCAGUAACGGCGAGUGAAGCGGCAAGAGCUCAAAUUUGAAAUCUGGCCCCUCCGGGGUCCGAGUUGUAAUUUGCAGAGGAUGCUUCGGGUGCGGCCCCUGUCUAAGUGCCCUGGAACGGGCCGUCAGAGAGGGUGAGAAUCCCGUCUUGGGCAGGGUGCCCGUGCCCGUGUGAAGCUCCUUCGACGAGUCGAGUUGUUUGGGAAUGCAGCUCUAAAUGGGUGGUAAAUUUCAUCUAAAGCUAAAUACCGGCCGGAGACCGAUAGCGCACAAGUAGAGUGAUCGAAAGAUGAAAAGCACUUUGAAAAGAGAGUUAAACAGCACGUGAAAUUGUUGAAAGGGAAGCGCUUGCGACCAGACUCGGCCCCGGGGUUCAGCCAGCACUCGUGCUGGUGUACUUCCCCGGGGGCGGGCCAGCGUCGGUUUGGGCGGCCGGUCAAAGGCCCCAGGAAUGUGUCGCCCUCCGGGGCGUCUUAUAGCCUGGGGUGCAAUGCGGCCAGCCCGGACCGAGGAACGCGCUUCGGCACGGACGCUGGCGUAAUGGUCGCAAACGACCCGUCUUGAAACACGGACCAAGGAGUCUAACAUCUACGCGAGUGUUCGGGUGUCAAACCCGUACGCGCAGUGAAAGCGAACGGAGGUGGGAGCCCCGCAAGGGGCGCACCAUCGACCGAUCCUGAUGUCUUCGGAUGGAUUUGAGUAAGAGCGUAGCUGUGGGGACCCGAAAGAUGGUGAACUAUGCCUGAAUAGGGCGAAGCCAGAGGAAACUCUGGUGGAGGCUCGCAGCGGUUCUGACGUGCAAAUCGAUCGUCAAAUUUGGGUAUAGGGGCGAAAGACUAAUC